CCUACGGGAGGCAGCAGUGAGGAAUAUUGGUCAAUGGGCGUAAGCCUGAACCAGCCAAGUCGCGUGAGGGAUGAAGGUUCUAUGGAUCGUAAACCUCUUUUAUAAGGGAAUAAAGUGUGGGACGUGUCCUAUUUUGUAUGUACCUUAUGAAUAAGGAUCGGCUAACUCCGUGCCAGCAGCCGCGGUAAGACGGAGGAUCCGAGCGUUAUCCGGAUUUAUUGGGUUUAACGGGUGCGUAGGCGGCCUUUUAAGUCAGCGGUGAAAGUCUGUGGCUCAACCAUAGAAUUGCCGUUGAAACUGGGGGGCUUGAGUGUGUUUGAGGCAGGCGGAAGGCGUGGUGUAGCGGUGAAAUGCUUAGAGAUCAGGCAGAACCCCGAUUGCGAAGGCAGCCUGCCAAGCAAUGACUGACGCUGAUGCACGAAAGCGUGGGGAUCAAACAGGAUUAGAUACCCUUGUAAUC
rnacentral:rRNA from 1 species